GGGCCCGCACAAGCGGUGGAGCAUGUGGUUUAAUUCGAUGAUACGCGAGGAACCUUACCAGGGCUUAAAUGUAAGUUGCAUAGAGUAGAGAUAUUCUUUUCUUCGGACUACUUACCAAGGUGCUGCAUGGUUGUCGUCAGCUCGUGCCGUGAGGUGUCAGGUUAAGUCCUAUAACGAGCGCAACCCCUGUUGUUAGUUGCCAGCGAGUCAAGUCGGGAACUCUAACAAGACUGCCAGUGCAAACUGUGAGGAAGGUGGGGAUGACGUCAAAUCAUCACGGCCCUUACGUCCGUGGCCUACACACGUGCUCACAAUGGUAGGUACAGAGAGCAGCCACUGCGCGAGCAGGAGCGAA
rnacentral:rRNA from 1 species